rnacentral:rRNA from 1 species
UCCAGACUCCUACGGGAGGCAGCAGUGAGGAAUAUUGGUCAAUGGACGCAAGUCUGAACCAGCCAAGUAGCGUGCAGGAUGACGGCCCUCCGGGUUGUAAACUGCUUUUAGUUGGGAAUAAAAGGGGGCUCGUGAGCCCCGUAUUGUAUGUACCAUCAGAAAAAGGACCGGCUAAUUCCGUGCCAGCAGCCGCGGUAAUACGGAAGGUCCGGGCGUUAUCCGGAUUUAUUGGGUUUAAAGGGAGCGUAGGCCGGCUUUUAAGUCAGCUGUGAAAGUCCGCGGCUCAACCGUGGAAUUGCAGUUGAAACUGGAGGCCUUGAGUGCAGUUGAGGUAGGCGGAAUUCGUGGUGUAGCGGUGAAAUGCUUAGAUAUCACGAAGAACUCCGAUUGCGAAGGCAGCUUACUAAACUGCCACUGACAUUGAUGCUCGAAAGUGUGGGUAUCAAACAGAAUUAGAUACCCUGGUAA